CGUAGGGUGCGAGCGUUAAUCGGAAUUACUGGGCGUAAAGCGUGCGCAGGCGGUUUUGUAAGACAGAUGUGAAAUCCCCGGGCUCAACCUGGGACCUGCAUUUGUGACUGCAAGGCUAGAGUACGGUAGAGGGGGAUGGAAUUCCGCGUGUAGCAGUGAAAUGCGUAGAUAUGCGGAGGAACACCGAUGGCGAAGGCAAUCCCCUGGACCUGUACUGACGCUCAUGCACGAAAGCGUGGGGAGCAAACAGGAUUAGAUACCCUGGUAGUCCACGCCCUAAACGAUGUCAACUGGUUGUUGGGUCUUUACUGACUCAGUAACGAAGCUAACGCGUGAAGUUGACCGCCUGGGGAGUACGGCCGCAAGGCUG
rnacentral:rRNA from 1 species